CUGAGACCCAGUGGAACUGUUGCCCUGGACGACGGCUUAUUUCCUUCUGGCUCUGACAACACUCAUCUGGAGGUGUGCCCCUUACGGAGCUGGCGAGACCUUGGCUCCCCCAGAGUAGCCAACACGGCCCCUGCAUGUCUGCGGGUCUAGAAGCGCCCCCUGCUGUGUGCUCUGCUGGAGGCUCUGAGAAGAGAGGCUCAGUCAGAGCCGGGAAGCAGUGGAAUUUCACGGCAAUUUUGGGUGAGAAGCGUAUACAUUGCUCUGGGCUAGCAGCAGGAGGGAAGGAGGCCUGGCUGCUGCUCCUCCCUCCCAGGUCCCCAGGUGCUGCUGUGUCCUUCCCCUCCCCCAACCUCCACCUGCCCUGGGCUGCAGAAGCAUCAUUUGAAAACCACUGCUUGAAAAUCUU
rnacentral:lncRNA from 1 species